rnacentral:rRNA from 1 species
CACGUAGGGGGCAAGCGUUGUCCGGAUUUAUUGGGCGUAAAGAGCUCGUAGGUGGUUCGGUAAGUCAGGUGUGAAACCUCCAGGCUCAACCUGGAGACGCCACUUGAUACUGCUGUGACUGGAGUCCGGUAGGGGAGCGUGGAAUUCCUGGUGUAGCGGUGAAAUGCGCAGAUAUCAGGAGGAACACCAGCGGCGAAGGCGGCGCUCUGGGCCGGUACUGACGCUGAGGAGCGAAAGCGUGGGUAGCAAACAGG